GACGAACGCUGGCGGCGUGCUUAACACAUGCAAGUCGAACGGAAAGGCCCUGCUUUUGUGGGGUGCUCGAGUGGCGAACGGGUGAGUAACACGUGAGUAACCUGCCCUUGACUUUGGGAUAACUUCAGGAAACUGGGGCUAAUACCGGAUAGGAGCUCCUGCUGCAUGGUGGGGGUUGGAAAGUUUCGGCGGUUGGGGAUGGACUCGCGGCUUAUCAGCUUGUUGGUGGGGUAGUGGCUUACCAAGGCUUUGACGGGUAGCCGGCCUGACAGGGUGACCGGCCACAUUGGGACUGAGAUACAGCCCAGACUCCUACGGGAGGCAGCAGUGGGGAAUAUUGCACAAUGGGCGGAAGCCUGAUGCAGCAACGCCGCGUGCGGGAUGACGGCCUGCGGGUUGUAAACCGCUUUCGCCUGUGACGAAGCGUGAGUGACGGUAAUGGGUAAAGAAGCACCGGCUAACUACGUG
rnacentral:rRNA from 1 species